GGGUUGUGAGGUUAAGCGACUAAGCGUACACGGUGGAUGCCCUGGCAGUCAGAGGCGAUGAAGGACGUGCUAAUCUGCGAUAAGCGUCGGUAAGGUGAUAUGAACCGUUAUAACCGGCGAUUUCCGAAUGGGGAAACCCAGUGUGAUUCGUCACACUAUCAUUAACUGAAUCCAUAGGUUAAUGAGGCGAACCGGGGGAACUGAAACAUCUAAGUACCCCGAGGAAAAGAAAUCAACCGAGAUUCCCCCAGUAGCGGCGAGCGAACGGGGAGCAGCCCAGAGCCUGAAUCAGUGUGUGUGUUAGUGGAAGCGUCUGGAAAGGCGCGCGAUACAGGGUGACAGCCCCGUACACAAAAAUGCACAUGCUGUGAGCUCGAUGAGUAGGGCGGGACACGUGGUAUCCUGUCUGAAUAUGGGGGGACCAUCCUCCAAGGCUAAAUACUCCUGACUGACCGAUAGUGAACCAGUACCGUGAGGGAAAGGCGAAAAGAACCCCGGCGAGGGGAGUGAAAAAGAACCUGAAACCGUGUACGUACAAGCAGUGGGAGCACGCUUAGGCGUGUGACUGCGUACCUUUUGUAUAAUGGGUCAGCGACUUAUAUUCUGUAGCAAGGUUAACCGAAUAGGGGAGCCGAAGGGAAACCGAGUCUUAACUGGGCGUUAAGUUGCAGGGUAUAGACCCGAAACCCGGUGAUCUAGCCAUGGGCAGGUUGAAGGUUGGGUAACACUAACUGGAGGACCGAACCGACUAAUGUUGAAAAAUUAGCGGAUGACUUGUGGCUGGGGGUGAAAGGCCAAUCAAACCGGGAGAUAGCUGGUUCUCCCCGAAAGCUAUUUAGGUAGCGCCUCGUGAAUUCAUCUCCGGGGGUAGAGCACUGUUUCGGCAAGGGGGUCAUCCCGACUUACCAACCCGAUGCAAACUGCGAAUACCGGAGAAUGUUAUCACGGGAGACACACGGCGGGUGCUAACGUCCGUCGUGAAGAGGGAAACAACCCAGACCGCCAGCUAAGGUCCCAAAGUCAUGGUUAAGUGGGAAACGAUGUGGGAAGGCCCAGACAGCCAGGAUGUUGGCUUAGAAGCAGCCAUCAUUUAAAGAAAGCGUAAUAGCUCACUGGUCGAGUCGGCCUGCGCGGAAGAUGUAACGGGGCUAAACCAUGCACCGAAGCUGCGGCAGCGACACUGUGUGUUGUUGGGUAGGGGAGCGUUCUGUAAGCCUGCGAAGGUGUGCUGUGAGGCAUGCUGGAGGUAUCAGAAGUGCGAAUGCUGACAUAAGUAACGAUAAAGCGGGUGAAAAGCCCGCUCGCCGGAAGACCAAGGGUUCCUGUCCAACGUUAAUCGGGGCAGGGUGAGUCGACCCCUAAGGCGAGGCCGAAAGGCGUAGUCGAUGGGAAACAGGUUAAUAUUCCUGUACUUGGUGUUACUGCGAAGGGGGGACGGAGAAGGCUAUGUUGGCCGGGCGACGGUUGUCCCGGUUUAAGCGUGUAGGCUGGUUUUCCAGGCAAAUCCGGAAAAUCAAGGCUGAGGCGUGAUGACGAGGCACUACGGUGCUGAAGCAACAAAUGCCCUGCUUCCAGGAAAAGCCUCUAAGCAUCAGGUAACAUCAAAUCGUACCCCAAACCGACACAGGUGGUCAGGUAGAGAAUACCAAGGCGCUUGAGAGAACUCGGGUGAAGGAACUAGGCAAAAUGGUGCCGUAACUUCGGGAGAAGGCACGCUGAUAUGUAGGUGAAGUCCCUCGCGGAUGGAGCUGAAAUCAGUCGAAGAUACCAGCUGGCUGCAACUGUUUAUUAAAAACACAGCACUGUGCAAACACGAAAGUGGACGUAUACGGUGUGACGCCUGCCCGGUGCCGGAAGGUUAAUUGAUGGGGUCAGCGCAAGCGAAGCUCUUGAUCGAAGCCCCGGUAAACGGCGGCCGUAACUAUAACGGUCCUAAGGUAGCGAAAUUCCUUGUCGGGUAAGUUCCGACCUGCACGAAUGGCGUAAUGAUGGCCAGGCUGUCUCCACCCGAGACUCAGUGAAAUUGAACUCGCUGUGAAGAUGCAGUGUACCCGCGGCAAGACGGAAAGACCCCGUGAACCUUUACUAUAGCUUGACACUGAACAUUGAGCCUUGAUGUGUAGGAUAGGUGGGAGGCUUUGAAGUGUGGACGCCAGUCUGCAUGGAGCCGACCUUGAAAUACCACCCUUUAAUGUUUGAUGUUCUAACGUUGACCCGUGAUCCGGGUUGCGGACAGUGUCUGGUGGGUAGUUUGACUGGGGCGGUCUCCUCCUAAAGAGUAACGGAGGAGCACGAAGGUUGGCUAAUCCUGGUCGGACAUCAGGAGGUUAGUGCAAUGGCAUAAGCCAGCUUGACUGCGAGCGUGACGGCGCGAGCAGGUGCGAAAGCAGGUCAUAGUGAUCCGGUGGUUCUGAAUGGAAGGGCCAUCGCUCAACGGAUAAAAGGUACUCCGGGGAUAACAGGCUGAUACCGCCCAAGAGUUCAUAUCGACGGCGGUGUUUGGCACCUCGAUGUCGGCUCAUCACAUCCUGGGGCUGAAGUAGGUCCCAAGGGUAUGGCUGUUCGCCAUUUAAAGUGGUACGCGAGCUGGGUUUAGAACGUCGUGAGACAGUUCGGUCCCUAUCUGCCGUGGGCGCUGGAGAACUGAGGGGGGCUGCUCCUAGUACGAGAGGACCGGAGUGGACGCAUCACUGGUGUUCGGGUUGUCAUGCCAAUGGCACUGCCCGGUAGCUAAAUGCGGAAGAGAUAAGUGCUGAAAGCAUCUAAGCACGAAACUUGCCCCGAGAUGAGUUCUCCCUGACUCCUUGAGAGUCCUGAAGGAACGUUGAAGACGACGACGUUGAUAGGCCGGGUGUGUAAGCGCAGCGAUGCGUUGAGCUAACCGGUACUAAUGAACCGUGAGGCUUAACCUUACAACGCCGACGGUGUUUUG
rnacentral:rRNA from 1 species